UCACGGCAGUACAACAUUAAGUAUUUUAUAGUUUUUGACUUAGCAUAUUGAAAAGUUAUAGACGUUAUAGUUAUUACAAAUACAAAUUUUGUUAUACCACGGUGCAGAGAAGACAUCUUCUCGGCACCGUGGGUCAGACGUUCUCGGGCAAUGAGGUCCAAUCACCAACCAAUCCAAGCCGGAGCCAACCGACAAUCUGUAGCUGCAUACAACUUCGGCAUCUUCGUGAAACCAGAGAAUCCUAAACCAAAACCAAAAAUUAACCAUUGUCAAUAAUCCUGGAUGGAGACGAAUACACAGUUGAGUCACGAUAAAAGGGAAGCAUCCGUCGUCGUCAAUUCAGCACAUAGAUUUCCAGUCAGUUUCUGCACAGUGGAUCAACCAUCAUCGUAAGAAAAUUAGCAAAACGUCAUAUUCUCGUAAUAACUCGGGAUCAAUUGAGAACGGUGGCCGGAGCGGUGACAUUCAUGGCCGCAGUCCGUUGUUAAUGUAUCACCAGAUGUGGGCUACGUUGAAGGUGGUUCAGGGUGUGGUUUAGGAAACGGCAUUUUGCGAGCAAACAAUAUUGAGUUUCGUUGAAAGAAUUGUUAAAAUAUCUGCUAAGACUACAUUGUAUUUGUUUGUCUUGAGUAGUGUAUUUGUUUGUCACGAUUGUCCCGAUUCAGAACUUUUCUUUUCGCAAUUUUUAAUCAUAUUUUUCAUGAAUCAGAUAAUAAUUGUUUUUGAUCUUUCUUUGGAUCAACUGCUGAAACAGAGCUCAGAUAUCAAUUUCUCGGCAGCUGAUAAAUCAGAUGUUUUGAUAAAGACCCAGCGGUGUUCAUAUUAUCAUAUAUGUAUCAACAUACCAUGGUAUACACACCGGCAUAAGAUGCAUCAUUUUUAUCAAUAAUACAUCUUGUUGAUUUAUUGGUUCAAUAUAGUGCUGAUUUGCUUCUCAUUGGAGAGAUAUGCUUCAGAGGAUCCUUCAACAGAACUUACACCCAUGAGUUUUUCCAGAGUUUUGCGUGAUGUCAACUUAAGUAUCCUGGCCUUGUUCGUUACUAUAACAAUUAUAAUUAACACACUUAUUAUACAUUCGUCAUAGUUUAUGAAUUGUACAUUCAUAUAAAAAUUGCUGGAAUACUUGAGAAAACGCAAUCAACAUCAUUUAUGGAGUACGCGUAGAUAAUAUGACAGCUAUUGGGUCUUAUAAUAAUAUUAAUAAAGAAGAGACAGACAUUUCAAAGCGGUUUCAGCAGUUAAUCCAAAAAUAGAUCGAAAACAAUUAUUAUUUGUAGAAUCUACCAGGUUCGUGCAAAAGAUCAUUGAAAAUUGCGAAAGAAAAAGUUCAGAUUCGGGAUUAUAAUCGUGACAAGCAAAUACAAUGUAGUCUUAGCAGACAUUUCAACUGUUCUGUCGAUGAAACUUAAUUGUUUGCCUCCGAAAUGCCGUUGACAAACCACAUGCUGAACCACUGGCAACGUAAUCUACAUUUGUAGGUACGCUGACAAUGGAUUGACGAUUUCGGACGCCGGUCACCAUUCUCAAUUGAUCCAGAGUGAGUCACAAGAAUAUCACGUUGUUCUAAUUUUCUUGCGAAGACGGCGUUGAUCCGGUGUACAGAAACUGACUGGAAAUUUAAGUGCUGAGGAACUGACGACGACGGAUGCCUCCCGUUUGUCGGACUCAACUGUGUGUUCGGCUCCAUGCAAGGUUACCAGCGGUGGCUAGUGUUGGUUUUAUGGUUGAAGAACCUGUAAUAAUUUUGAAGGCAAUUCAUUAUUUAUUUAUUAUAAGUUACGUGAAAUAAUAUUUUGUAGUUGGCCUUGGCACUAAUCCAGGAAUGAUUUUUGAAAGGGAUUCUUUUGUAUUUAAUUAUAACAUAUAGGUAUAUACAAU